rnacentral:lncRNA from 1 species
AUGACCAGAAGGAAGGGAAUAUCAAACCAGCAGUACUUCAUGUUCAUCUGGGAAACUUACUCCAUUCUUCUCUGCAGGGAUUUCCAGAGGAUGAGACCCCAGUUCACGGCAAACUGGCUCAGUGAUUCCCUCAUUCUGGGCUCCCCACGCUUGGUGUCCUUAUCCUGCUUCUGGAGAUCUCACAGACUUGGUGCAUCGCACGCUUGUGUGUCACCCACUUCUGCCACCCCAGGGAAUCCUCACUGCUUUGCUGACAGAGCAUUGGGCCACAGGGAAGAAGAGGUUUGUAAGGUCCAGAAAUAGUCUUAGGGAGAAGAAAGGAAAUGCUGAGUGUUGGCUACUUGGCAAAGGCUGUGCAUCUGCUGCUGUUGUGGAAAAUGCCUGGGAGGCACCAUUAACCACUGCUCUUUGCUACGGGCUGGCUUGUGUCCACACCACUAAGGACCAGCGCUCUCUGAAGGGCAGUGGUUACCUUCAUGCUGUGCAGCACUUGGCCUGGGUCUCCUUUGAGCUGCCUGCAGAGCCCCACAGACCCCAGGUCAAUAAUAAUUGCAUUGGGCAGAUGUUUAAGUUUGAAAUUCUCUAAGUGGUGAAAGGACUGGGUUGCAGCCUGCCAGCAUUAUGUUUUUUGCAGGAUCUGAAGGCAUUUUGGGUUCUACUGCACAGCAUGGAGGACAGUGGGCAUGAGGUCUCCUAGGAUGGCUGGAGGACUGUCCAGGGUAGAGCCUGGUCCAGCUCAUGCCAGGCUCUUCUGUGAAACCCUGAAAAAAAGCCCUGUCAGCCAUGUCAAGGUUUCUUCUUGGGAGAAACCAGUUGGUUUGCUCUGGAGCAGAGACAGGAGGGAGCUCAUAUGCAUGCCACAGAGACAGCCAGUGAGCAGAGCCUGGGGGGAACAGAGGCAGCCAAAUUGGCUGUGCAGACAAAAGGUGCUCUCAUACCCUCACUGUGGUCUCACCCACUGAGAUGUUAAACUCAGAAGAAGCAAUGCAAUUUUUCCUGACCACCACUUGCAGGAUUGGCAGCGGGUCCCUGUCACAGCCAUCAGUCUGGAGGUGGCUCUGGCAUGUACUUCUUCAGCCACCAUGAACUCCUUGAGCUUUGUCAGAUGAGGACAAUCUUCAUGCCUUGGCUCUGCAAUUUUUAAAGGUCAUUGUGCCUAAACAGCAAUUCUUCUGUAUCUCUUUCAAUUAGCCUUUGGUUUUGGGCCUGUCUAGGGGUUUAAGCUCAGUCUUAACCUUAAGAUGUU